CAUUUUGAAGUCGACUAUUCAUUUAUGUUGAAAACCAAAAUCCCGAUCUUCUGCGACCGUUUGACAAAAUACAAUUGAGUCCAUUGAACUCGUUCAAAGUUCAAUCCACAAGAUUUGAAUCAACUUUCUAAGUUUAAAUGGAACCAAGAUUAGCCUUGGGCGGCCCGGUAGUCCAGUGGUUAGCACGUCGGCUUCACAGUGCAGAGGUACCGGGUUCGAUUCCAGCUCCGGCCUCCCUGUGUGGAGUUUGCAUGUUCUCCCCCGGGCCUGCGUGGGUUUUCUCCGGGUGCUCCAGUUUCCUCCCACGUUCCAAAAACAUGCGUGGCAGGCUGAUUGGACGCUCUAAAUUGUCCCUAGGUGUGAGUGUGAGCGUGGAUGGUUGUUCGUCUCUGUGUGCCCUGUGAUUGGCUGGCAACCGAUUCAGGGUGUCCCCCGCCUACUGCCCGGAGACGGCUGGGAUAGGCUCCAGCACCCCCCGCGACCCUAGUGAGGAUCAAGCGGUUCCGAAGAUGAAUGAAUGAAUGAAU